UCCCACCGUUUUUGGCAAUGGUAGAACUCACACUGGUGAGGUAACGGGAUCCGGUGGUUCUAGACUUGCCAACUAUGGUGCGAGG
rnacentral:pre_miRNA from 1 species